rnacentral:lncRNA from 1 species
UUUUUUUUCUGUUCCUCUCUUUUCCUUCUGAUAGUCCCGUUACACAUACGUUGGUGUGUUUAAUGAUGUCCCACAUUUCUCUGAGUCUCUGUUCAUUUUUCUUCACUUUUUAAAUCUCUGUUCUUCAGACUGCAUAAUCUCAAUCUGUCUUCAAGUUUAUCAGUUCUUCUUAUAGUGCAAAUUAGUGUUGUGCCUCGCUAGUGAAUUUUUCAUUUUAGUUAUUGUACUUUUCAACUCCAGAAUUUCCCGUUGGGUCUUUUUGUAAUUUCCAUCUCUUUAUUGGUAUUCUCUGUUUGAUGCGAUGUUCUCAUCAUAGAAAGAUUCCUGCUGUCUUCACUACUUUUAUCAUGGUUUCCUUGUUCUUUGAACAUAUUUAUAAUGGCUACUUUGAAGUUGUAUCUGUUAAAUCCAACAUCUGGUCAUUCCUAUAGGCAGUUUCUGUCACUUGCCUUCUCCCUGGUAUGUGUGUCAUACUUUGCGAUUUCAUUGCAUGUCUCAUGGUUUUGGUUGAAAACUGGACAUUUUAGGUAGUAUAUCAUAGUAGCUCAGUAUGUUUCCCCCUCCCCGGGACUUGUUAUUGUUGUUUGCGUAUUUAUUUGUUCAGUGACUGACUGGAUUAUUUUUUUAACUCAGUUUUAUUACACUUAUAGUUGUACAAUGAUUGGAUUAUUAUUAUUAUUAUUAUUUGUCUUUUUGCCAUUUCUAGGGCCGCUCCCGCGGCAUAUGGAGGUUCCCAGAAAAGGCAAAAGAACAAAAGAAAAAAAAGGAUAUUCUAAAGUGUUUAAAUUUUAAUACAAUUUAGUCUUUUACUGGGAUAACCCAGAUGGCAAAACUUUCCAGAAUUUUCAGCUGUGUCCUUUUUUUUUUUUACUUGUUGAUCCACUUAUAGCUCGGAUGUAGGACUCUGUUCCUCACCAGGCACAGCAGUGCUGGGCUUUGUGGCUGCAGUUCCCCUCUGUUCCCAUCAGGGCUGGACUAGGAGCGGGCUGGUAGCACCCAGUACAAAACUCCAAAUGAAACCAGGUAGGGGGUGGGAGGGCGAUCCAUGUUUCUGCUGCUGCUUCCAUGCCCUUUUCCGGUUGCAUAAGGAAUCAGGUCAUCCAUUCUCUCGAACGCUGUGGUUGAAGAAGAAAAGGCAGGGACAGGUCCCUUUGACCUCCUAAGGGGGAAAGAAUGCUGGGGCUGCCGUAGGACAAGUUAUGAUGUUUUGUACUUUGAUGCCUAAUGUCUUAUUUUAAUCUUCCCAAGGCUCCCAGUGAGGACCUGGGGUCAGGCACUGACGGUCACAGCUGCCAGCACUCUGUGCAUGGGCCAUUAGUUAAUUCUCCCAGGAUCAAAGCAGGUGCCAUUAUGACCUUCACUGAACAGAUAGGGGAGCUGAAGCACAGAGCAGUUCAGUAUUUUGUCCCAGGUCACAGAGCUAGUUGAGAGAGCCAGAAUUUGAACCCAGAUGGUUCUAGAGUUCCCACUCUUCAUCCUGUCAACGCGGCACUGUGAUUUUCCCUGAGAUGAAAGUGCUGCGUGAACAAGGUCUUGGCCUAUCUUGGCCCCUGCUGUUCCCUUGGCCCUGGGACGUGCCUUCCCCAGAAGAGCUACUCCGUCGGCAUUUGGAGAACGAAUUCGAGAAUUCCCAGUUUGGAGCUGGAAAGGGAGACUGUCUGGUGGAUGUGUGCUCAUCAAGGGUUCGUCCACAGCGGAGGCUCACAGAAGAGAAACUCCUCUGAGGUCUCCGAGGGCGUGGUGUGGCUGGAACCACUGCCCUGGGCCAAUUAGAUGAAUUAAGUGCCUACAGUCUCUGCCAGAGUCAGAGCCUCUCCUCUUACCACCCAGGGCACAGCCAGGUCCUGUGGGGCAGAGGCUGCUGCCCAGGAGGAAGGGCACGGCUCCGGGAAGGCAGUGCCCAGAGAGGGCGGGGGAGGGCACCUGGCCACCCCCUCCUCCGGUCUGGUCCAGUCCAGUUGCCCACAUCUUGGACAUCACAGGAGAGAGACACUGAAGGCAGCUCUGUGACAAUACUGAGCUU